rnacentral:rRNA from 1 species
ACGAAAGUCUGACCGAGCAACGCCGCGUGAGUGAAGAAGGUUUUCGGAUCGUAAAGCUCUGUUGUAAGUCAAGAACGUGUGUGAGAGUGGAAAGUUCACACAGUGACGGUAGCUUACCAGAAAGGGACGGCUAACUACGUGCCAGCAGCCGCGGUAAUACGUAGGUCCCGAGCGUUGUCCGGAUUUAUUGGGCGUAAAGGGAGCGCAGGCGGUCAGGAAAGUCUGGAGUAAAAGGCUAUGGCUCAACCAUAGUGUGCUCUGGAAACUGUCUGACUUGAGUGCAGAAGGGGAGAGUGGAAUUCCAUGUGUAGCGGUGAAAUGCGUAGAUAUAUGGAGGAACACCAGUGGCGAAAGCGGCUCUCUGGUCUGUCACUGACGCUGAGGCUCGAAAGCGUGGGUAGCGAACAGGAUUAGAUACCCUGGUAGUCACGCCGUAAACGAUGAGUGCUAGGUGUUAGGCCCUCUCCGGGGCGUAGUGCCGGAGCUAACGCAAUAAGCACUCCGCCUGGGGAGUACGACCGCAAGGUUGAAACUCAAAGGAAUUGACGGGGGCCCGCACAAGCGGUGGAGCAUGUGGUUUAAUUCGAAGCAACGCGAAGAACCU